rnacentral:misc_RNA from 1 species
AUCCGACGUCUGGCUAAAUCGAGCCAGCGUUUACGUGGCCGGAUGGAUCAUCCCAUAAUGAGGCAUAAGCGCGGCGGGGAAUUUUGUUCCUUAGAUCAUCACGUAUUUGUCUGAUACGUAGAAAUAGCCUUCUUCACUAUUCCAUUACUGAAGAUGUAGGGGCGUAUAAGUAAUAUAUACUUUUCAAUACUGUAGAGUUCACAAAAUUGUAGGCUGGCCGAAGUAAACGCAAAA